rnacentral:rRNA from 1 species
AGUGAACGCUGGCGGUAGGCCUAACACAUGCAAGUCGAACGGCAGCACAGUAAGAGCUUGCUCUUACGGGUGGCGAGUGGCGGACGGGUGAGGAAUACAUCGGAAUCUACUUUUUCGUGGGGGAUAACGUAGGGAAACUUACGCUAAUACCGCAUACGACCUACGGGUGAAAGCAGGGGAUCUUCGGACCUUGCGCGAUUGAAUGAGCCGAUGUCGGAUUAGCUAGUUGGCGGGGUAAAGGCCUACCAAGGCGACGAUCCGUAGCUGGUCUGAGAGGGUGAUCAGCCACACUGGAACUGAGACACGGUCCAGACUCCUACGGGAGGCAGCAGUGGGGAAUAUUGGACAAUGGGCGCAAGCCUGAUCCAGCCAUACCGCGUGGGUGAAGAAGGCCUUCGGGUUGUAAAGCCCUUUUGUUGGGAAAGAAAAGCAGCAGGUUAAUACCCCGCUGUUCUGACGGUACCCAAAGAAUAGCACCGGCUAACUUCGUG